GCGGAUCCAGCUUGGCUGCCUGCUGCUCUGAUGUACCUUUAGACAGAGGCUGUGAGUCUCUGGGAGUGGAGUUAGGGGUGUGUGAACAGCCCGCCCCUGGCUUCUGUGUAGGCCUCAGUCAGUCUGAAUGUUAUUGCAAGCACUGCCAGUAACUCCAACCGCAGCACGCCGGCCUGCUCUCCCAUCCUCCGGAAGCGGUCCCGCUCACCAACACCACAGAACCAGGACGGAGACACCAUGGUGGAAAAGGGCUCAGAUCACUCCUCGGACAAGUCCCCAUCCACCCCAGAGCAGGGUGUGCAACGCAGUUGCUCCUCACAGUCUGGUCGGAGCGGUGGUAAAAAUUCCAAGAAAAGCCAGAGUUGGUACAAUGU
rnacentral:lncRNA from 1 species